rnacentral:lncRNA from 1 species
CCUUGAGUCCCACUACCAUUUAAGUCUCUGAUUUUUUAAUUCUCUUAGGAUCUUUUCUGAGUGUUAAAAUGACUGAUGUUUCGUCCUGGGUCUGCCAGCUGUACCUCUCACGUUCAUUGAAAAAAUACUUGGAAGUGUCUGGGCCAAAUGAUUGCCUGGGCUUUAUACAGUCAAGUUUUCUGAUGUCACUGGACCAGCGAACAUCUCCCUGUUCUGCAACUCUGCUCUGUAAAAUUCUAUCCUGAUGCUGCUGCCUCUUCCUGCAGACUUCCUGAGUGCCAGGACUGCAUGUCUCCUUGCUGACUUCUCAUCACAAGUCUGUAAAUAUAAACAUUUGUUUUUACAGUCAUCUUUGGUUCAAGACAUUGUCUAAUAGAAAUGUUAUCUAACUUGCCAAAAGUCAUACAACUGUCGGCCUAUUGAGGGCUACAAUCCAACUUUAUACAAGGUCAACACCAGCUCCUAACCAAUAUCAGCCUCCUCAAGCACUCUUUUCUGAUCCUGUUGCAUUGUAACCAUUAACAUUUAUAUCUGGUUUUCUCAUUAGACAGGAAGAUGUUAAAGUCAGAAACUUUAGCUUUAGAAGAUGCUGUAGCUUUAGAAGAUGCUAAAAUUAGAUGAACAGAUUGUUCAUGCUUAAAUAUUUAUUGAGCACCUACUAUGUGGCCAAGUUGUUUUUGGCACUUGGAAAUAACCAAACAAAAAUCCCUGCUCUCAGAGAGGAAGGUAAACAAGGAAGGAAGAUGUAGGAUGUAGCAAACAGUGACAGGUGCUAAGGCACAGGACCUAGCUGUGGGUUCUAGAAAAUUGCCCCCAGCAUUAUGUAGUAUUCUGCAUGGGCCCCAAGGAAAAGGGAGUUAGGGAGUUAGUGGCUGGGGUGGGGGGUAGGAGGGCAGGUUGCUAUUUUAAGUAAAAUAGAGA